rnacentral:rRNA from 1 species
CAAUAGCGUAUAUUAAAGUUGUUGCGGUUAAAAAGCUCGUAGUUGGAUUUCUGUUGGGAACGACCGGUCCGCCCAUUGGGUGUGUAUCUGGCUUGUUCUCGGCAUCUUCUUGGUGAACGUUGCUGCACUUGACUGUGUGGAGCGCUACCCAGGACUUUUACUUUGAGGAAAUUAGAGUGUUUCAAGCAGGCAUAUGCCUUGAAUACAUUAGCAUGGAAUAAUAAGAUAGGACCUCGGUUCUAUUUUGUUGGUUUCUAGAGCUGAGGUAAUGAUUAAUAGGGAUAGUUGGGGGCAUUCGUAUUUAACUGUCAGAGGUGAAAUUCUUGGAUUUGUUAAAGACAGACUACUGCGAAAGCAUUUGCCAAGGAUGUUUUCAUUGA